GACGAACGCUGGCGGCGUGCUUAACACAUGCAAGUCGAACGGAAAGGCCCUGCUUUUGUGGGGUGCUCGAGUGGCGAACGGGUGAGUAACACGUGAGUAACCUGCCCUUGACUUUGGGAUAACUUCAGGAAACUGGGGCUAAUACCGGAUAGGAGCUCCUGCUGCAUGGUGGGGGUUGGAAAGUUUCGGCGGUUGGGGAUGGACUCGCGGCUUAUCAGCUUGUUGGUGGGGUAGUGGCUUACCAAGGCUUUGACGGGUAGCCGGCCUGAGAGGGUGACCGGCCACAUUGGGACUGAGAUACGGCCCAGACCCCUACGGGGGGCAGCAGUGGGGAAUAUUGCAAAAUGGGCGGAAGCCUGAUGCAGCAACCCCGGGGGCGGGAUGACGGCCUUCGGGUGGUAAACCGCUUUCGCCUGUGACGAAGCGGGAGUGACGGUAAUGGGUAAAGAAACACCGGCUAACUACGU
rnacentral:rRNA from 1 species